GGAGGGGUGGUCGAGUGGUUAAUGGCAUCGGACUGUAAAUCCGACCUCUUAUGAGUACGCAGGUUCAAAUCCUGCCCCCUCCACCA
rnacentral:tRNA from 1 species